AGUGGCGGACGGGUGAGUAACGCGUGAGAAUCUGCCUUGGGGUCGGGGACAACCACUGGAAACGGUGGCUAAUACCGGAUAAGCCGAUUGGUGAAAGAUUUAUUGCCCGAACAGGAGCUCGCGUCUGAUUAGCUAGUUGGUGAGGUAAGAGCUCACCAAGGCAGCGAUCAGUAGCUGGUCUGAGAGGACGAUCAGCCACACUGGGACUGAGACACGGCCCAGACUCCUACGGGAGGCAGCAGUGGGGAAUUUUCCGCAAUGGGCGAAAGCCUGACGGAGCAAGACCGCGUGAGGGAGGAAGGCUCUUGGGUUGUAAACCUCUUUUCUCAGGGAAGAAGCUCUGACGGUACCUGAGGAAUCAGCCUCGGCUAACUCCGUGCCAGCAGCCGCGGUAAUACGGAGGAGGCAAGCGUUAUCCGGAAUUAUUGGGCGUAAAGCGUCCGCAGGUGGCGAUUCAAGUCUGCUGUCAAAGCACGGGGCUUAACUCCGUAAAGGCAGUGGAAACUGAAUAGCUAGAGUGCCGUAGGGGUAGAGGGAAUUCCCGGUGUAGCGGUGAAAUGCGUAGAGAUCGGGAAGAACAUCGGUGGCGAAAGCGCUCUACUGGACGGCAACUGACACUCAGGGACGAAAGCUAGGGGAGCGAAUGGGAUUAGAUACCCC
rnacentral:rRNA from 1 species